rnacentral:rRNA from 1 species
GGUGAUGCAUGGCUAUCGUUAUCUCGUGUCAUGAGAUGUUUGGUAAAGUCCUAUAACGAGUUAAACCCUCGUUUUGUAUUACUGAGACAUGCGCCUAAGGAGAAAGUCUUUGCAACCUGAAGUGAGCCGAGGAUCCGAGUGAUGUGUCAGCGCUACUAAUUGAGUGCCAGCACCUAGCUGUACUGUCAGUAUGAAAGCUGGUGCCUUUCGAAGCACUUUCUCUUUUUAGUUAGCAUUGUUUUAUUAUUGCAUCUACUGCGCUUGACUAAUAAGAUAGAAAGGGCCUUUCUAGCAUGUUUAGUAAAGUUAAUUUUUUGACCUUAUCUUGCAGGUGAAGAUGACAUCGAGUUGACGGCAGAUAAAGAGUCGGCAUUCAGGAGAGCCACCCGGUGGUGUGGUAAAUAGUGGGUUUAGUACGCCCAGCCCAAACAAACAGCUUCGAAACAAACAAAAAGGUGUGUGCCGCAAUCACGAAGGACUACCAGUAAUAUACUGGAGGAAAGUGGGGACGAUGUCAAGUCCUCAUGGCCC